GGCAUGGGUCACGGACGAGGACGACACAUCCACCGAAUACCAUUAUCGCACCUCAUGGGCCACUCAGACGCAAAGCACAUCCACCAGCUAUUGUCCAGCACUCACAGACCACCAUCUUUCCAACCUAUCCCAUGUAUCCUCCAUCGCCCUGUGGGCUGUGGCGCAGCCAUGAAGAGCACUAUAGCAUGCAAGCAGCGGCCAAAGGAACAGGACCGCCGCCCAGGUUACUUGGAUGGCUGGAAGCGAGGACCCGGAUGGUCUAGUAGAUUGGAACAUAAGGAAAAUGAAGCAAUCCGUGUGCUAUUUCUACACUAUGGAACGCAAUUGUAUAUUUGUUGCUAAUAAUCUAAAUCAUAACAUAUAUCACUGGCCAAUAUCUAUGAAAAUCUCGGACAGGAAAGGUAAAUUUGGUGCUUACAAGCUGGAUUUGGUACGACAUAUGAUAGAGUAGAUUGGAAUUAUCUGGAAGGAAUUCUUGAAAAGCUGGGCUUUGCUAGACAGUGGAUUAAAUGGGCGAUGACUUGUGUUAAGACUGUCAAAUACUCAGUUCGUUUGAAUGAAGAUGUUCUGCAAAGUUUUGCUCCUUCAAGAGGCACGCGUCAAGGUUACUUGGAUGGCUGGAAGCAGGACCCGGAUGGUCUAGUAAAUUGGAACAUAAGGAAGAAGCAGAAGCUGCUCCUGUUGACAUCCUCUUCAGCCUAGGAUGAAUUCAGGAAAAGGUACGAAAAGAAGGCAAAAAAAGCAAAUGAAAAUAGAGUAAAAAUCUUGGAAACCUAUGAUAGCUAUUUCUGUUAUGUUUUCUUCUGUAGCUACCUUAGUAGGAUGGUUAAAAUAUGCUAGGAAAUUGUGCGGCCGAAGGCCUGAAAAUGAUGCAAUAUGCUCUAUAAACUGACACUGUUUCAUUUUCAAUGCAAAAUGACGCGGUUUAUUUGUAAUGAGAAUGUAGGACCUCUCGGCUCAUAACUGAGAUUGAAAAUGAACCAAUCUCUGUGCUAUUUAUACUC